ACACGUAGGGGCCUGACGUUGUUCGGAAUCAUUGGGCGUAAAGGGCGCGCAGGCGGCCGUCCAAGUCCGGUGUUAAAUGGUCGGGCUCAACCCGAUCAUGCGCUGGAAACUGGGCGGCUUGAGUCCCGUAGGGGAUGCCGGAAUUCCAGGUGUAGGGGUGAAAUCUGUAGAUAUCUGGAAGAACACCGAUGGCGAAGGCAGGCAUCUGGCCGGAGACUGACGCUGAGGCGCGAAGGCGCGGGGAGCGAACAGGUUUAGAUACCCUGGUAGUCCGCGCAGUAAACGAUGCGCACCAGGUGUCGGGCGGCAGCGCCCGGUACCGGAGCUAACGCGAUGAGUGCGCCGCCUGGGGAGUAUGCCCGCAAGGGUGAAACUCAAAUGAAUGGACGGGG
rnacentral:rRNA from 1 species